CACUGCUGGUUGUCACACAGCUAUUAUUGAGGUAAUCUAUAUUUAGAGCUAACAUUGGUUUAAAUUAAAUUAUGUUAAUUAAGUUAAGUUAAGUUAAUGACUCUUAGUUAAGUUGAUGGUAUCAGUCAUUGUGUUGUGACACUUAUAGGUGUAUACAUUGGAUAUGCAUUUUGGCAACUGGCAUUAUAUUUCAAACUAGGCAUUGGUUGUUAUAUGGGGAGAAGUCUAACAGAAGGCCUAUCAGACAGGUGCCAACUGGUUCUUCUAAAGGCAGGAAAGUCUUAGAGACUUGGCCAAAGUCAGGGAUGCUGAUCUGCAUCCUGUGAGAAAAGAAAUAGCGACUGCUGCUGUUGCACAUACACAAUGGAAGUUGUCUAUUACAAGUCACAAAUUAUAGAUCUGACCACAAUGUUUGGACGUUAUUAUAAUUAUAGUUCUAACAAGAGUCAGAUUACUUAUGAUUAUUUGUGGACA